rnacentral:rRNA from 1 species
AUACGGAGGGUGCAAGCGUUGUUCGGAAUUACUGGGCGUAAAGCGCGCGUAGGCGGUUUGUUAUGUCAGAUGUGUAAGUCCACGGCUCAACCGUGGAAAUGCAUUUGAAACUGGCAAACUUGAGUACUGGAGGGGGUGGUGGAAUUCCCGGUGUAGAGGUGAAAUUCGUAGAUAUCGGGAGGAAUACCGGUGGCGAAGGCGACCACCUGGCCAGAUACUGACGCUGAGGUGCGAAAGCGUGGGGAGCAAACAGGAUUAGAAACCCCAGUAGUCC